rnacentral:lncRNA from 1 species
UUGAUACAAAUCAUAUAUACAUGAUAAAAAAGAAUCAUAAAUCCAUUCUUAUUUUCGUUUGGCCUAUAAAUGAUAUACCCAUGUUACCCCUCACCGGAGAACUAAAUGUUAUCGUAACCUUCGGUUGUUCCUAGUGGACACUCCAUGCAACAAUUUCACAAAUCCUAGAUAGCUUAGUUUCCCAUCAGAAUGUCGUAUCCAUUCGCUCACAACAACGUGUAAUGGGACCGAAGGUCCGAGCCCCACUUACCGAUGCUAGUUCUUCAAUAAUGAUGGCCUUGUUACCAUCGUUUUCGAAAAUCUCGUAAGCAGAUUGGGUAAGUU